AUUGAACGCUGGCGGCAUGCCUUACACAUGCAAGUCGAACGGUAACGGGCCUUCGGGUGCCGACGAGUGGCGAACGGGUGAGUAAUACAUCGGAACGUGCCCGAUCGUGGGGGAUAACGAGGCGAAAGCUUUGCUAAUACCGCAUACGAUCUACGGAUGAAAGCAGGGGACCGCAAGGCCUUGCGCGGACGGAGCGGCCGAUGGCCGAGUAGGUAGUUGGUGGGAUAAAAGCUUACCAAGCCGACGAUCUGUAGCUGGUCUGAGAGGAUGAUGAGCCACACUGGGACUGAGACACGGACCAGACUCCUACGGGAGGCAGCAGUGGGGAAUUUUGGACAAAGGGCGCAAGCCUGAUCCAGCCAUGCCGCGUGCAGGAUGAAGGCCUUCGGGUUGUAAACUGCUUUUGUACGGAACGAAAAGCCUUCGUUUAAUACAGGAGGGUCAUGACGGUACCGUAAGAAUAAGCACCGGCUAACUACGUG
rnacentral:rRNA from 1 species